UACAGAGGUCCCGAGCGUUGUUCGGAUUCACUGGGCGUAAAGGGUGCGUAGGUGGUGAGGUAAGUCGGAUGUGAAAUCUCUGGGCUCAACCCGGAAAUGGCAUUGGAAACUACCUUGCUGGAGGAUUUGAGGGGGGAUUGGAAUACUUGGUGUAGCAGUGAAAUGCGUAGAUAUCAAGUGGAACACCAGUGGCGAAGGCGAAUCCCUGGAAAAUACCUGACACUGAGGCACGAAAGCUAGGGGAGCAAACAGG
rnacentral:rRNA from 1 species